UAAUAUGCGCCAUCGAUUGACGUUACCCGCAGAAGAAGCACCGGCUAACUCCGUGCCAGCAGCCGCGGUAAUACGGAGGGUGCGAGCGUUAAUCGGAAUUACUGGGCGUAAAGCGUACGCAGGCGGUCUGUUAAGUCAGAUGUGAAAUCCCCGGGCUCAACCUGGGAACUGCAUUUGAAACUGGCAGGCUAGAGUCUCGUAGAGGGGGGUAGAAUUCCAGGUGUAGCGGUGAAAUGCGUAGAGAUCUGGAGGAAUACCGGUGGCGAAGGCGGCCCCCUGGACGAAGACUGACGCUCAGGUACGAAAGCGUGGGGAGCAAACAGGAUUAGAUACCCUGGUAGUCCACGCUGUAAACGAUGUCGAUUUGAAGGUUGUGGCCUUGAGCCGUGGCUUUCGGAGCUAACGCGUUAAAUCGACCGCCUGGGGAGUACGGCCGCAAGGUUAAAACUCAAAUGAAUUGACGGGGGCCCGCACAAGCGGUGGAGCAUGUGGUUUAAUUCGAUGCAACGCGAAGAACCUUACCUACUCUUGACAUCCAAGUCGCUUGGAAGACAUGCCGUGGUGCCUUCGG
rnacentral:rRNA from 1 species